rnacentral:rRNA from 10 species
UGUGCAUAUUACCCUGAAUGUGCCUGAUCUUGUCUGAUCUUAGAGGCUAAGCAGGGUUGGGCCUGGCUAGUGCUUAGAUGGGGGAGGAAAGGCAGACAAAAUAU